rnacentral:rRNA from 1 species
CCCAGACUCCUACGGGAGGCAGCAGUGAGGAAUAUUGGUCAAUGGGCGGGAGCCUGAACCAGCCAAGUCGCGUGAAGGAAGAAGGUACUUAGUAUUGUAAACUUCUUUUGUCGGGGAACAAAGGCGGAGACGCGUCUCCGGAUGAGUGUACCCGAAGAAAAAGCAUCGGCUAACUCCGUACCAGCAGCCGCGGUAAUACGGAGGAUGCGAGCGUUAUCCGGAUUUAUUGGGUUUAAAGGGUGCGCAGGCGGAAUGUCAAGUCAGCGGUAAAAUUUCGGGGCUCAACCCCGUCGUGCCGUUGAAACUGGCGUUCUUGAGUGAGCGAGAAGUAUGCGGAAUGCGUGGUGUAGCGGUGAAAUGCAUAGAUAUCACGCAGAACCCCGAUUGCGAAGGCAGCAUACCGGCGCCCUACUGACGCUGAGGCACGAAAGUGCGGGUAUCGAACAGGAUUAGAUACCCGAGUAUA